CCACCAAACAUUUUGAGAUGAAACUAUGGGUGUGUAUUUCCGAAGAGUUUGUUGUGAAAGUUAUUGUUGAAAAGAUUAUAGAGUCUGUAACAAGAAAGAAACCUGAAAAUCUUCAACUGGAAUUGUUGCAAAGUGAACUUCGAAAGCAUAUUGAUGGGAAAAAGUUCUUACUCGUCAUGGAUGAUGUGUGGAAUGAAGAAUACCGUAAAUGGGUUGCUCUCAAAAGUUUAUUAACGGGUGGUGCAUCAGGUAGUAGAAUUUUGAUCACAACACGUCAUGAACGAGUUGCAAAUACUUUUGACGCAAAUCCAUGUUAUACUUUAAGAGGAUUGAAUGACAAAAACGCUUGGCUAUUGUUCAAAAAAAUGGCUUUUGGAGGAGAAGGAUUAGAAAAAGAACUUGAAAAUUCAGAUCUAAUCGAAAUUGGGAAGGAGAUUGUGGUAAAGUUAAAAGGCCUUCCUCUUGCAAUAAGAACGAUAGGACGUCUUUUAUAUGCCAAGGGACCAGACCAUCAUCUUUGGUUGGAUUUCAAGGAAAUGGAGCUUUCCCGAGUUUUGGAGCAAACAAAAGAGACACAAUUCUUGCUAUCAAUAUUGGAGCUCAGUUAUCGCCAUCUCCAAACUAGUUUGAAGCAAUGUUUUUUAUAUUGUGCUUUAUUUCCCAAAGAUUAUAAUAUUCCAAAGGAUGAAGUGAUAAAGCAAUGGGUGGCGCAAGGUUUCGUUCAAUCAAAUAAUAUUGGUGAAGAUUAUUUCAAAGAAUUAUUAUCAAAGUCAUUCUUUCAAGACGUCACGAGAAAUGAAAUGGGUGAUAUAAUACAGUUUAAGAUGCAUGACUUGAUGCAUGAUCUUGCUUGUUCAAGAGUAGAAAAGGAAUAUAUUUCUAUGGGUGAGAAAAAUAGAGUCAUCACUGAAAGUACCCGAAACAUCAAUAUUUGCGGUCAGUUUGGUAUAAACUUGAAGUCCCUACAAUCAUUGUUAGCAGCAAAAAAUUUAAGAACAUUAAUUAUUGAUGCUCCAGGUUUGGAGGGCCAAAAUGUCCUUAACCCAAUCCCUUCAAUGUUUUUGCGAUUAAGGACGUUGAGUUUGGAUUUGAGUUGUUGUGGUACUGUCAAAGCAUUGCUCAAAUCUGUUGGCAAGUUGAAACAUUUAAGAUAUCUGAAGAUAUGUCAAUAUAAACAUCCGUUUCUUCCGAAUUCCAUAACUAAAUUAUACAAUUUGGAAACACUUAUCCUUGAUUGGUGUGACUGUCUACAAGAGUUGCCGAAAGAUGCAAAAAAUUGGAUGAAGCUGAGGUAUCUAAGCCUUACUAGAAAUUGGAAGAUAAAGUUCCUCCCAGAUUCUAUUGCUGAAUUGCACAAUUUGGAAACACUUAUCCUUCAACAUUGUUCCCGGUUAAGAGAAUUGCCGAAAGAUAUUAAAAAAUGUGUCAACCUUAAGCAUCUUGAUUUACAUGGUUGCAAUGCUUUGACCCAUCUUCCAAAAGGAAUAGGUGAGCUUACUCGACUUCAAACAAUGAAUUUGUUUGUACUAAAGAAAGAUAUUGGUUGUGAUUUAAGCGAGUUGAAUAGAUUGAACAACUUGAAGGGAUCGUUAACCGUUAAAGGUUUGGAAGCUUGUACAACUGAUGAUUUGGAAAAGAGUUCUUUGAACUUGGGAUUGAAGUUAGGUGUUCAAAAGUUAAAGUUAGUUUGGACCUAUUCGGAGGAUCAACAUAUGAAUAAUGUCUUGGACAAUGAGUGCAAAGAGGUUUUGAAAUGCUUACAACCACAUUCAAACGUUCGAAGAAUACACAUAUGCGGAUAUCGAGAAGUCAGACUAUGUGAUUGGCUAUCCUCUAAUACUCUUUUUAACUUGGUCAGCAUAAAGCUUUCAGAUUGCUUCAAAUUGCAAGCUCUCCCACAAUUUAAUCAAUUUCCUUUUCUCAAGCAUUUGGGUCUUAAAUCAUUAUCCAAUAUUGAUUACAUUGACAACAAUGAAUAUCAUUCUUCAUCAAUGUUUUUUCCAUCGCUUGAGAAAUUAAGCAUGGUAGACUUGCACAAUUUAAAAGGAUGGUGGAAGAGUGAAAAUUCAUCAGAAGCUUCGCCAAACAUUGCAUCAUUUCCUAUAACAAUGUCUUGCCUUUGUGAACUUGAGAUCGAUGGUUGUCCUCAUUUGGCUUCAAUUCCUUGGCAAGCACCUCUGAAGUCCCUGCAUUUGAGUGCAAUUAGUUCACAACUACUUAAUGUGGUAAUUGAAAGGACGGUCAAUUAUUGUGUUGAAGAGUGUUCUUCUACUCAGACUAAAGUGUCUUAUUUUCACCUUAGUAAGAUUGAUGAUCUUGAGUUUCUGCCAGAAGAGUUAUUCUAUCAUUUCACAAAUCUCGAACUUCUUCAAAUAGAAGAUUGUCAAAGCUUAAACAUGUCUUCUGCUUUUGCACAACAUCCUAGUAAUGAUGUACUAUGGAAAGAGUUUCGAAGUCUCUACCUUUUAUGGAUUUCAGGAAUUCCCAAGUUGGAUUGUUUGCCUAAUGGGAUUCAACAUGUGACGACUCUUGGAGACCUUCGCAUAAGCUCAUGUCCAAAUUUAAUAACCCUACCAGAAUGGAUACGUGACCUCACAUCACUCUCACAACUAUCCAUUUACAACUGUCCAAACCUCAGUUCAUUGCCGGAAGAGAUUCACCACCUCAAAUCUUUACAAUUUUUGAGAAUUUGGGGUAGCCCCAAAAUGGUAGAGAGGUGCGAGGAAGAAAAAGGAGAAGAUUGGCCAAAAAUUUCUCGUAUUCCUUACACAGACAUUAGACUUUGAAAUUGAAGAGAAGAAAAACUUGUUCGUCCAUCAUCUAUAGGCAUAAUAAGGUAAAACCAAAGUUCUCGUACACGGUUGACGAUGACAACGCAACUUUUAAGACCAUGACACAUGUAUAAGAUAAUUGUAUUUAAUUUCGCAAACUAUAGUAUAUUUCUAUUUUAUUUUUACUUAUGUCUAUUUUAAUUUUUCCAUUGGUUUGUUUUAAAGACAUUUUAUUAAACAUGUAAGUCUAUAACAAUAUUUUAUAAGUAUGUUUCUAACGAUUAUUUU